GCUGGGUGAGGCCGUGACCAAGAACCCAGGCUACCUGAAACUCAGGAAGAUCCGGGCGGCCCAGAACAUCGCCAAGACGGUGUCGCAGUCGCAGAACAAAGUUUACCUGAGUGCUGACAGUCUGGUGCUGAACCUGCAGGACAAAGACAACUUCAACUUGUUGUUGGGGAAGUAAGAGGACGCCAUCAUUCCUUCUGUCCGUCUCUCACCUCUCGGCCGCCGUCGCCUCCACGCCAGGUUAAUCUGUGACUCGUUUACACGCCACACAAACUGACUCUAACGCGUGGAGACGGCGCCCAGCGGCCGCCUCACCGCCGUGGAUUUAUUUUGAAAGGUUCCUCUGGUGUCGGUGAAAGUCUUUGUUUUUGUGUCCUCGUCUGCAGACGUUUUCCGCCUCUUCUUUGUGCUUUUGUCAGAAUCAUCAGAAAUGUUUAGUUUGUGAAUAAAACGCAGUUUACCCGGUUCGUUCGUCUGCAGGCCAGCUGAGUUUGUUCACCGUGAGGAAAAAAAGUUUUUUUUACCUGGAAAGAUUAUUUAUAUUCAUGUAGAUUUUCUCUUUGGACACUUGAGCUUCAUCAGUAGCAUAAAGGAGUUUAAAGUACUAAUAAGUAAAUAACUGUGACUUUUUCAGUUAUUUACACCAAAUGCAGGACAUGAAGUAAAAAUAAAGCAGCAGUUUCAUAAAUAAAAUGUGAAAAAUCUGAUUUUUUACCAACACCAGAGGAGUCUGUCAAGCCUUCAGUUCCUUAAAUCACAAAAAAAUAAAACAUGAAAACAACAUAGUUGGUAUCUAACAGCAGAGAAGUUGAAACUUGGAAAACAGAGUCAAAUUAAUUCUGACAGUUAAAGCUGAUAAUGUGAAAACAGGCAAAUAAAAUAAUUAUUUAACCACAA